AAAAAAAAAAAAAAAAAAAAAGCGAGCGGAGGACCGAGCCGAAAGAGCCCGGAGGACAACUGCGAUCAAGAAACCAACCUGAGCUUGACCUUCAGAGACCAGGGUGACCCGGGUUAAAAUGAGCAUGGAAGAUGAUUCCAGCAUAGAGGGUCUCCGCAGAGAUGAAAGGUUAGCCGAGGUCCAAGGAUGGACAGCUGCAUCCUCGAGACGUCCUUGUGUCAUACGAGUGCUCACUGUACAUUUUCCCCUCCAGGAUUUUCAGCUGUAUGAAGCAAUCAUUGGUGGAGUCCAGAAACUGCAUCUGUAAACCCUGUCUCAUGACAUUUGGGCAGCUUGUGUACUGGCAACUGAAGCUCUCCAUCGGUACUGUGCAACUUCACUUUCUUGGAUGAACUGUGCAAAACUGCAUCAGUAUAUCUGCCUAACAAAUGCUCCCUGAAGAACUGUGAAGAUCCUGAACGUGUUUGCAAGGGCACCACGUUAGCUUGCACACAUCGUCCAUGCCCUCAGUGCCCAGUUCACGGCCACAGCCUCCUGCUUCCUCCUGCUCUCAGCUGGAGCACUGGGCAGGCUGGGUGAGGCUGCAGAAGCAGGCAUCUGGCUCUGGGGGUUUAUGCCACAGUGUCCCUUUGUCAAGACAUCAGCCAUCACACACGAGCAUUAACUACUUGCCCUUCUCCAGCCUGGAAGAGGUACCUGUGGAGCAAGACGUUCCCUUGAACUGAAAUGAGAAGAUGGACAAAAAAGUGUAAUGUUCCUGAGUUUGCCAAAAAUAUUUUACUUACCAAACGACUCAGCUUUCAUGGGCUGAGAGACUUUCAGUGGAGAGGAACUGUGGAGCAGGAAAUCUGGGCUCAUUUGGCUGUGCAUAUCAGGUUGUGGCCAAAACCAAAGUAGCUGUGCUAACAUGUGAAAAGUCAUCUGAUGAGAAGCCAAACAGGCCCAGCUCGGAGGAGGAAUAGCCUUAAUACAUUAUUUUUCUUGGUUUUGGUUCCAGAAGAUGUCUGUGUCUCAUGACUGUAAUGAUACUCAAUCAUCAUGCUAUAAUGAAGGGCUUUUCAUGUAAUCAUCUGUAGAACUGAUUACUUUGGUCUAUACCCUUAUCAUGCUGAGCUUCCUGGCAAAAUUCCCACUGACAUCAGUAAGAGAAGGAUUGCACCUUUCCUCAGCACUUUACCGCUUUUAUUUGACAAUACCACGGUUUUCAGGCACUUCAUAGUGGAGAUUAAACAUUUAGACUCUUAAUUCCUGAAAUAUUAAAAAGGCACUGUAGAGAUAACACA